rnacentral:rRNA from 1 species
UACGUAGGGGGCAAGCGUUGUCCGGAAUCAUUGGGCGUAAAGAGCGUGUAGGCGGCUCGGUAAGUCCGCUGUGAAAGUCCAGGGCUCAACCCUGGAAUGCCGGUGGAAACUGUCGAGCUAGAGUCCGGAAGAGGCGAGUGGAAUUCCUGGUGUAGCGGUGAAAUGCGCAGAUAUCAGGAGGAACACCAAUGGCGAAGGCAGCUCGCUGGGACGGUACUGACGCUGAGACGCGAAGGCCAGGGGAGCAAACGGG